CCACGCCCCCUCCCAAGUACACCUCCACAGGUGACCACGCCCCUCCCAAGUACACCUCCACAGGUGACCACGCCCCCUCCCAAGUGCACCUCCACAGGUGACCACGCCCCCUCCCAAGUACACCUCCACAGGUGACCACGCCCCGCGCAGGUAGAUCGGAAAGAUGGCGGCCGGGGUAACACGGUAGAAUCCCAGAUUCCCUGUUUCUUCUGGUGUGCAGCCUUGGCGUGAUUCACACACAGGAGGAGAAGGAUUCCGAGUCUUGGAACGAGAGCCGCUGUGUUUGCUGAAGUCUCGCGCGAUCGGAUUGUGGAGCCUCCAGUGACGUCACGAUGA